UUUUUUUUUUUUUUAAAUCAUGGAAAAAGGGAUAUAGAGAACUCAGUCCCAAAAAAUUUUGGGUUAAGUAUUCAUUGGCAUUGCGCAGAUUAAAUUAAUUGGUAGUUGAUUUCUGAAUGAAUCUGGCACAGAAUUGGGAGGACCCAGUUUAGAUUUGCAUAUUCACUUGAUAGCUUAGGAAAAGAAGACUAAUUGAGCUCAUCCGUUUUCUGGAAAAUUAUAUUUGGUUUUAUGAACCGAAUCAUAGAUGGCAAAGUAGACAUUAAACCCCCGACAACCAACAAAAACACAUCUUCGACACUAGUGUUUACAGUUUAGGCAGCCCAAAUUAAAAAAUGCGCUAAUCCAUAUUAUUUCUCAACUUUCGGGAGAAUAAUUCUGACUACCAGGAUUUACACUAAAGGAGAUCUUAUGGGGCACCCUUUUCUAGGCCUUUUUCUAAAAGAACCAGAUGGAGCUACAUAACAUUCUUCUAAUGGCUUUGGAGUGCUCCAAUUUUUCUGUUUAAUACAUCUUAUGGUCUUCUCUUCUUUACUUGCCCAAUCUACCUGUACCAGGAAGAAAGAAUGCUUUACGAGUUAAUUUUCCCUUAAAAUAAUAAAAACUGUUUAUAGAUAAUAAAGCAGUUCCUCCAAAAGCACUUACUUUGCAUUCUACCGAACAGAAUUUGACCGAUGACGACAAAUUUGACCAUCCACAUAUUUCACACUUCCUGCCGAUCACUUUUGGAUUAUGUUUCUCGUUGCUUUGCCUUUGAGAUAUGUAAACAAUUCUUUGCCCAUUGAUUGAGUAUGUCUGGAUAUCAGACACAUCCAACAAUUUUUUUAUCAUCAAAACUGUGGUUGCUGUUUGACGUGAAGCUUUACACACCUGAGAUUAAAUAAGUUAACAAAAUCACUAUUAGUACUGGCAGUCACUGCUAAGCAAAGAGAAGAAAAAACAAGAACUUACUCGCAACACAUUGUGGUCAUCGUGUGUGUGGGUGUUAUUUUUACAAUCUUCACAGAAGGGUAAGCCCUUGCACUCGCAGCAGAAGUUGGUAGUGAAUUUUGGGCUGCAUUGACAGGGCACAUAAAAUUUGGCUUGUAUAAAAUCCUGUAACCAUGACAGAUCGCCUUCCUGUGCUUCCAUGAUUGUCUACAAUAUUGAGUAAAUACCUUGAACAAAAUCUCUCUCUUUCGAUUCAAUUGCUUGCUUUCUGUAGUUCAGGCUCUUUAAUCUUAUCGUAUUGAUAUCGUUAGUUUUAUAUUAUAACAGGAUUUCUUAUCCGCAAGGGUCACGGAGUCCUAGUUAUUAUAUUCUGAUAAUUUGUUGAAGCAGCCAAAUUUUGUGUAGAAUAGGAGGAAAUAAAAAGGAGAAAACCUUGUCAAAAUAAGAAUAAUAAGAAAAAGCUGAUGUGGAUUGUGCCACAAGAAUUUUUUUUCUUUUAUUUUCUUUUCUCAUAAAAAAAAAAUAAAAAAAUCAGUUAUCACUCAGGUAUCAAAGUCCUAUCAGAACUUUCAGCAAACACCUUCCGGGCAUUUACAAUCAACCCGGCUUAACAUUAUUACAUGCGUAUUACGCAAACUUGAAAGACCCAAUUCCCAGUAUGGCACAAAGAACAUGGACAACUGGAGCAACCCACUACACUAAUUCGGCAGCACAAGCUCUGAGAACCAAUGGCAGAGUAAAACUAUUAGGAGAAAGACCCAAAUUUAUCAUUUGACCAUACAAAGAAAUAUCCAUUUCCUGGGUCGGUGGUUGUCACUCUUUGAAUAGCCCCUUAUCAAUGUGUAGUAAAUAAUUAUUUGGUCGAACGCAUACUGUUGUUGAUGAUUUGGGCAUGGAGAUGAAGAUGCUCUGGGUGAUAAGAUAAGAUAACGGAGGGUUUUGGGAGUUAGAAAAUUGAAAUUGCGUAGAGAGCUAACAACAAGAGAGGGUGUAUUUAACGCGGGAACCAACGGUCCAAUUUCCGAAGAGGUAAAAGCAUUUGACCAACUUUUUGAACACUUUUAUUAGUUGUUGCGAUGUGGCAUAAUAUCACCGAUACAUAAUUCUUCCCUACCCAAAUAUCAUUGGUAAGUUAUAACAUUUGUCUGAUAAUGUGGGUAGGAAUAGUAAAAUUAUCCGAAAUAUGUCCGUAAAAAGCUUUCAGCUGUAGGUAAUUUUAUAGGUUGCGGAUGGAUUUUUUAUAGUGAAAAAAAAUUGCAUGAGUAUUUGCCAAUCUGCAUUCUUUUUUCUUUUUUUUCAAAAACAGAUUUUUAUUUUUAUUUCAAUCAUAAAAUUACAUUAAAAAAAUGUUUAUAAAUAUAUUUAAUGUAAAGUUAUCACUCGUGACCUAAACUUAACCUAACCUAACUCAUUGAAGCCGCAUGUAUUGCUCUUUUUAAAGAGUGUGUCUAUGUGUGUAUGUAAAGAUCGAUACAAUAAGCUUUUAAUAAGUAGAAAUUUUGUAAUUUUCAAGUUUAAUAUUAUUAAUAUUUUUAUUUUUAUUUGAAUUUUUUUUUUGUUUUGCUUUAAUGAGUUGAAUUUAAUGAUUGCUUGCUAAAGUUGGCUUCUUAUUAGUUUAAUUAAUUGUUAAUGGUAGUUGUCCAAAAUUCACUUGUUAAUAUUGUUCACAAUACUUGUAUAUUGAUUUAAAGAUGGAGCAAGAUAUUGAUCAUAGUGAUGAUGAUCUGCAUACAACAUAAAUGUUUUUGUUAGAUUGAUAUAUUUUGCAUAUUUAUUUUAAUGUUGAAACUUUAAUUAUUCAUUUACAUUGAUAAAAUAUAGAACCAAGUAUUUUAUGCGGAUUUUUUAGGGUUGAAUUAUAUCAUUUAUAUUUUUAUGUAUCAUUAAAAGUAUAUUUUAAUAUUUGUGAUUUUAAAUAUGGAACUCACAAAAAACCCAUUGCGAAGUGUGGGUAAGUUUGGUAAUUAUUAAAAUCUGGAACAACUAAUUUCUUUAAAAAAUAAAAACUUGCUAGGUAGGUUUAAUAAUUCAAAUUUUCCGCAGGUGCGGGUUCAAUAAUGACAAACACGCAAUGGCUGAUAUGCAUUGUCAUUCCUCUAUUUGGGUGUCAUCUAGCUAGUUGAGAUGGAAAAAUCCUCUUAUAUUCAAAAUAAGAGAUUUAAGGUUUUAAUUCUAUUUAUGUGAGUAGGAAAGAGAUUGAAUUGCCAUUUGAUUAUAAAAAAUAGCAUUUAUAAAAAGGGAGUUAUUUGCACUCUAAACAAAAAAGGAGGAGAAGACUACAUUUUUUUUUUCUCUUUUUAAUCAAAGAAUAAAAAUUUGUUCAAAAUCUAUUAUGAUUUCCCCAUUGUUUUACUAAAUAUUGUUUUAAGAGAUUGGAAAUAAAUUUUUUAGGAUUUAUUGCAAGAGGAUUACAUAUUGAAUAGUGAGUGUAUUAUAUGAAUAUUGAGAGUAAUUAUAUUAUUUUAUUUUAUAAGAGAGAGUCCUUAUUAGUAAUUCAUAUGAUAGGUAUUUUUGUAAUAAAAAUAAUUUAUUAAAAUAAAUGUUCAAAUAAAUUUUAAAGGGCAUAAUAGUCUCACCGUUACAAAAAUUAUAAUCUUAUUAUGGAGAGAUAACCACUUUCUCCCCAACUAAAAUCACUAUAAAGUAUAAACCAUUUACCCCAUAAUUCUCGUAUUUUUGUAUUACCAAAUUCUCCCCUUCACCUAAAAAAAUGAAAAAAAAUCUAAUUUUUUUAAAUUCUUUUACAAAUUUACCCUUGGAUACAAUAUUGACGUGAUAGUUUAUUAAUCCUUAACGAAACUUAAUUUUAAAUGCUUAUUUUGUAUGACACGAUGAAGUGGUUAAAAUAAAAUAAAAACCAAUUAAUUGAUAGAUUAAACUAAAAAUAAUUUGAAAUAUAAAUAAGUGCACAUGUAAUAAAAAAUUCAUAACCCAAUUAACAAAUGGAAUAAAAUGAUGUUAAUUUUAUUGCAAAGCUUUCAUAGUUUAUCACAUAAAUGGCCAAAAUUGCAGUUCUAUAAAUAAUAUCCAAAAAUCUAUUUGGUGAACUUAUUUUGGUGGUAGGUAUGAUUUAAUUUUUUAUUUUUCAUGAUAACACAUAAAAAGAUGUUUUCUUUUACAUUGAGAAAAUAUUUUUUCAAUUACACUCUUUUAAAUAGUGAAACUUAUUUGUUUGAAGGGUAAUAUUCUCAAUUAGUUCUUGUACUUAUUUAAUGAGUUUUCUCAAUGAAAAAUUUACUUUCGCAUAAAAAACAAAAAACAAAAAAGUGAUUCCGCAACAGCUAAUAGGGGCAUUACAAAAAUACUAGCAGUAGCUUCCCCCCACGGGGAUUUUUUUUUUCUUUCAACUAAGAAGUUUGCCGUCAUGAUUUAUCACUUGUUAUUAUUUAAGCAAUUGUUCGAAUUUCCUUGAAAUUGAAUGAGCACAAUGGGUCUGCUUGUAGGAAUAUUGAAAAGCUCGGCAACGAUAUGUCAUGCGAAGUGGGCAUCAAUUUCCCAUUUGCCUCGACAUUCUAUAGACUCAGAUGCUAAAAGCAUUCUGGUUAAUAUUCUCUCUUUUUGUUUUGUGACUGUGACAAAGUUAUGAGACCCGUAAUAAGUAUUGCAGAGUUAAAGGUGCGUUUGGAGCAGUUGUGCUUUGUUUUCUUAUAGAAAUCAAUAAGAAUAUAGGGGACAGCAACGCACCCUAAGUCAAGUCACAACAAUAGUAGAGCCGGAGAGUCCGGAAGAGGUGCUCCAUUGGGGACAAUUUGUACUACUAUACUCAUCAAAUCCCUUUUUUCCUAUCUGUUUAAAUUUCUUGAAAAGCAAAGGCAAAACACAGAUGCGCAUGAAAGUUUUCACUGUAUUAUUUCCAGAUUACUUACAGCAAUAUCAGUAUAAACUGAACUUUGGUUUUAUUGCAACGUAACUAACUAGGUCUUGGUCAUUAAUUAGUCGGGUGUAUGGACUAAAAACUCUACAUUUAACUUGGGUUUUAAUUGCUAGCUAGGCUGAAAUGAGAAAUCACAAAGAAGCCAGCAACCAGAGAUUGAAGAGAGACGAAGCAAAUAGCAUAAACCAAGACAAGAAAGCAGUGGCAGCAGAUAUUUGAUAUCUAUUGCAUAACUUAGCUGGGCAAUUUGGCUGGCUGGCAUGCAUCAAGAGUUCUGUAACACUUGCUGUUGAGCAGGCUGCAGCUAGUGAAAGAAAUGCCAGAACCUGUAAUUGAAGAAAACAAAAACGUACAUGCCAGAACCUGUAAUUGAACAAAACAAAAACGUACAUAUAUAUGUAUUUGUAUUUCUUCGUCAAAUGAAGAAAAUUAUAUAUAUGAAAAUUUUAAAAUGAAAUGUAAAAGAAGCUAACGUACCCAAUCUCCCGCAAUGACAAAUAACAUUACUCUUGGUCGACGGGGUAAAUUCUUAAAGAAAACAGCAUAGCCAUCUACUAGUCCUAACGCCAUACUCCAUGGAAUCACCAAACCCAUUACCGUCACCAAAUAACUGCAAAAAUUGCUUAAUCAAACAACAACAUACAUACAUCAAGUCUCUCAUAAAUUGAAUUCUUAACAACUAAUAUUGACUUCAACUUCUUGACCUCUAAUCUCUUCUUCCAAUUUGCAAUAGGCAUCAAAGGACAUAAAUUAAAUUAAGACACUGGGAAUUUACCAGAAAGAAGUGUAGCUGUAGAAUUCGACAUGAAAACUCAUAAAAAGGAUUGAAGCGGAGGAGAAAAUGGUCUGACCAAAACGCAAAGCCAAGCUGGCGCUUGACCCCAGUGCUCCCGGCACUUCGUCCAUUGAAUCAAUAUUGUUUGGCACUUCAUCCCCAGAAUUCAAUUAGAAAUGAAUAAAAGGGAACAAAAGCCAUGAGUAGCUGGGGAACCAGCUAGACCGCAGAAAAUGGGUAACAGAAGCAAACUGUUGCCAGUGUGAUACAAUUUCAAAGUCUUUUUUAUAUUCUGUUUGAUUUUGUGAUGGAAAAAUAGAGACGUGUUGGUUAAUGGCUACAGUCUUUCUUUCAUUCCUUGGACUUUAUUUUUUAUCCUGCACGGUAUUGGUCAAUCAAACGGGGUAAAACUUAACUUAAACAUUGAUUAGAAAAUUAUAAAAAUUACCCGAUUAGGAAUGUAUAUAUAUCAAACGGAAAAGGAAUCUAAGUAAAGUUACAAGCAAACAAAAAGUUUAGAAAUAAGAAAACGUCAAUUUCAAAACCCAGUGAAAGCUGGAGUUUAAUUGAACCAUAACUUACAUCAAUAACAGGACACUUUAGACUAUUUCUUUGAGAUGAAUCUCAUUGUUUCUAUGGAAGUCUUUUCAUCAGCCCACUUACUAGUUAUUACUACAUCAGUUUUUCCCACUUUUGUUUGACUGCACUUGCUACGUCAUUAUGUAUUUAACUUUUCUCUCUCUCUCUCUUUAUUUAUAUAUAUAUUUAUUUUAAAAAAUUCUAAUUCUUGCAUGGACCUAUCCAGUACCAAUAAUGGAAGCGAUUUCAGGUACAUUUGGAACGAAUACAACGUGUAGGCCGAAUUUGGGCCAUCUCGAAGCCAAAAAGUUGUCUCUUUUGCUGGAAAGAUCAAUUAAUAUUUUUCUUAAAUUAAUCCUUUUUAUCUGCACUAACUUUUGAAGAAUGGGUCCUUCACUCAUUUGCAUUUGAGUUAAUAGUCAUUCUUAAUGGUCCAUAUAACUUACAAAGCUUCAUGAGUCGCGCUUUGGAAUCACUAUCAUUAAUGAGUGGGAACAGCUCUCCGUCAUGUUCAAACUCCAGCUCAAUGUUUGAAACAUUGACAACUUGGAAGUAAUUAACAUUUUCAAAUCAUCACGAAGUUGGGGGGGGGGGGGGGGGGAAUGGAUGUGCAUGGUGAUCCUACGCAACGAGUCUUCCAAGAUAAUCCUUUGUAUGAAUCAACAUACACCUUGUAUGUGUCUGAGAGAGAAUCUAAACGAUCUUUUUGCCAGAGCUGAGAUAUGAGUUUAAAGAAUGGCCUCCCAACUCCAAGCACAAACACCGAAACACGACAAUUUAAUUAUAAAAGGCUGUCAAUCAUAGACAUGCUUCUAAAUACAUUGAUGAUCAGAUCGUAGGUGCAAUUUUUUAAAAUCAGAGCAUGGAAACUGAGAUCGGUAAAAGAAUCCCAAAAAUUAAAUAUGAUAGAAGGAAUACGCCCCCACAAAUCCUGGUCACAUUUGAAUUAUCUCUUUCUGCUAAAACCACCCUAGGAUUUAUAUUUUUUCAGUGGACAAAUCAAUCUCAAGGUAGAAUGUACAAGUGAGUAGGGACAAACAGAAUGAAUGUCAAAUGAGUCCAGCAAUUAGCAGUUAAGCACCAAUCGAAAAUUCAAGUUCAGAAUUAAGAACGAAUAGUCAAGUUCCUGUAGCCUCUAAUUAAGUUAGAGCAAUAAAGUUUCCCUGAUAUCUGAAGCCGGAAUACAUUUUGGCAAGAGUUGGCAUAUUCAUUCUCCACGGCCAGGAGUUUAAUAAAUAGUGCUAGCGACCUGGAAAGAUGAUCAUUUAUGACCUUCUAUGGCCUCAUUUCUGACCUUCCAUGGGCUAAUAAGUUUUGAGGUAAUAACAGGAUGAACAUUAACAAUGUCAAUUCCAAUCACUGCAUCAGGCUAUUCCCGAUCAGGAGAAUCCCAUAAUGGGAUGGGCGGCUAUAGGCUACAUGUGGAAAUGUCUCCAGGCUUUCGAUAUCACUGGUGAGAGGUGUGUUCAGGCCUCAAAUCACUCAAACCCAUCACCGUUCAGAAUUGCAAGCAUUAUUAUAGCAUGCCACGAUAAUAUACAGACAUGACAACAUUCUCAGUGCUACUAAAUUGAAUUACAGAAAUGUUUAGCAACACCUUCAACAUGUUUCAAAAUCUGAAUAGGAAUAAGUACACUCAUACAAGAAAAGCUCUAUUGCUCAAGCUGUGCAUACCAGAUACCCUGGAUCUUAACAUCCUUUGGAACCUUGGCUCCCAUAUCAGUAUCAGAUGGCUGAAGGCUCUCAAACACUCCAAUAACCUCUCCAGUCUCAGGCUUGCUCUUGGUAACGCUGAGGGUGAUCUUCCCUGUUGAAGAUGAAGUAUUCUUGAUAUUCUCCUUGGCGAGAUCUUCCUCAUCCCCUCUUCCGCCAGCAGGCAAUGCAAUAGCAUUGUCAUAACCAGUUGAACCACCCCUUCCCUUUGGGUCCAAGAAGGAUGAUCCACGGUAUGAUGGUACAAGGAACUCUCCUCCGAAAUUCUCAGGCUUGCCUGAUGCUACCAAUUGUUUGAUGGUGAAAAGGAAGGGCACACGCUCGCCUCCAGGCAGCUGAACUGUCACAGCAGCAUAGUCAAUUCCAUCCUUCUCCACAAACUUAAUGGUGCCAUCGGGGGACACUUCAAAAGGUCCCUCAAUCUCGUCAAGGGUGUAGGUAAGGCGGGUCAUGAGCUUGGUGUUCUGGAAAUCUGGUGGGGCAUUCUUGUUGACACUCUCAGCCUUGACAGUGAAGGAAGUUGGUUCUAGGCAGAACUUCUUAGCCUGGUAUUUGCCAGGUUUGAAGGCAAAAGAGUCAACUCCGCCAUCAAUGGUUGGGCACUGGUUAGCAGUUCCGGUUCCCUUUACUUCCAUGUAUGUCUUGCUCUGGAUUUCAUCAUAGGUUAGCCUCUUUGGAACACCUUCAGCACUUGCUCCCUGAGGAAACAAGCAAUUAUUCAACAAUGUCAGAUCAUAAAGUCCUUUCCCAACAACAUUUUCACUAUCUUUAAACUAAUUCUUCGAUGAUUUAGUUAUAGUAACAGCAAUUAUAACAAAUUAAAAUUGAAAUUUGGUCUGUUGACGGCCUAAACUCUGAGAGUGAGAGAACAUUUAUUGGCGCCUGAUAAUUGUUGCCUUCUCCGUCAAUUGAAAAGAGCCACAACCCGUCUCCAAAUAUUUAUAGUAGUGUAUCGGCAUAAUUCAGAACAGAACAACAUGAUGGGGAUAAAUUAAUGACUAGGAGCAUUUAGUACACUUUUGCGUUGACAAGUGAAAAUCGAAACUAAACAUACCAAGAAAUAAUACAACACAUGUUACAAAAUCAUUAUGCUGUCACAUAUGUACUAAAAAAAUAAUAAUCGAUAGUAGUAAAUAGAAGCAAAAGGAAAACAUAGUAAGAGAUGAUAGACAGACCGAAACGACGAGAGCAGAAGUGGCGAGGGCAAAGCCAGCGAUCUUGGUAGCAUCAACACAUUUCUGAGCCAAAUCCUUCAAGUCAUUAUUCAAAGUGCAAGAGAUCCUAGCACCAGCUGAGUCGACACCAAAAGCCUUCGAAACGCUCUGUGAAGACCUCAGCUGCAGGCUGCUGCUGCGAGCGGGUACCACACCCACCUUGGUGGGUUGCAUCAGUGUAGCUGCGGCUUGUAACGAGGCUGCCAUCUUGCUCCCUACCACUCGU
rnacentral:lncRNA from 1 species